rnacentral:lncRNA from 13 species
AUUUCUAUUGGCUGUUGAGGAGCAGGAAGUACAUGGAGUUAAAGUAGGAAGUACAUGAAACUAGCUGCCAUUGGUAGGUGGGCGGGACCUUGGGUAAGUGGGCCUUGAUUGACUAUUGGGGAAACAAAGAGAAGGCAUUUCUAUUGGCUGUUGAGGAGCAGGAAGUACAUGGAGUUAAACUAGGAAAUACAUGAAACUAGCUGCCAUUGGUAGGCAGGCAGGACCUUGGGACUCACUAAGAAGAGGAGAUUGACAUUUGGUUCAGCGGACUGGGAAGGGAUGAUCCAUCCUCGAUGUGUGUGGGCACCAUCCUCGGCUGCCAGCGUGGCUAGAACAAAGCAGGUGGAAAAGAUCUCAUUUUCUCUUGUCAGAGUUCUUUACCUGAUAUUUGGGAAUUAUGAAAGCCAGGUCUGGACAAAAAAGAGCUCUGUCUGCCUCCAGGGGUCAGUCUCUCCUUGAGAAUCCUUUGGAGAGUUGUCCAAAGCCACUUCCAAGGAUUACAGAUGAUCAGAGAUAUAUCUCAACACUGAUUAGAGUGGAGAGCUCAGGGCUAACCCAGAAAACUAAGCCUCGGUACAGCAGGAAAGAUAAGAUUCCAGAAGACUUCAAAUCGCAGAGCAGCAGAAAAAGAGACAGAUGGGCAGUAAAGACAAAACUCUGCACAAUCUUGUGAUGAUGAUGUUAUGAACUUGUGACCAUCGAAUGGAGUCAGCCAUUUGGCAAAUGUCCUUAUGAUCUGUUUUCACAACGUGGAACUUAUUUCCCACCACCUUUUUUGUUCAGAAGGAUGCAGCGAAAAGGCCCUCACCAGAUGCCAGCUCCUUGAUCUUGGAUUCCACAGCUUCCAGAAUGAUGAAUCAAUAAAUUUCUCUUCAUUUAAAAUUACCCA